rnacentral:rRNA from 1 species
UAGGGAAUCUUCGGCAAUGGACGAAAGUCUGACCGAGCAACGCCGCGUGAGUGAAGAAGGUUUUCGGAUCGUAAAACUCUGUUGUUAGAGAAGAACAAGGACGUUAGUAACUGAACGUCCCCUGACGGUAUCUAACCAGAAAGCCACGGCUAACUACGUGCCAGCAGCCGCGGUAAUACGUAGGUGGCAAGCGUUGUCCGGAUUUAUUGGGCGUAAAGCGAGCGCAGGCGGUUUCUUAAGUCUGAUGUGAAAGCCCCCGGCUCAACCGGGGAGGGGCAUUGGAAACUGGGAGACUUGAGUGCAGAAGAGGAGAGUGGAAUUCCAUGUGGAGCGGUGAAAUGCGUAGAUAUAUGGAGGAACACCAGUGGCGAAGGCGGCUCUCUGGUCUGUAACUGACGCUGAGGCUCGAAAGCGUGGGGAGCAAACAGG